rnacentral:rRNA from 1 species
ACGGAAUGUGCAAACGUUAUUCGGAAUCACUGGGCUUAAAGAGUCCGUAGGCGGCAUGUUAGGUGAGGUGUGAAAUCCCACGGCCCAACCGUGGAACUGCGCUUCAAACCGGCGUGCUUGAGGAAGAUAGAGGUGGGCGGAACUGAUGGUGGAGCGGUGAAAUGCGUUGAUAUCAUCAGGAACACCGGAGGCGAAGGCGGCCCACUGGGUCCUUUCUGACGCUGAGGGACGAAAGCUAGGGGAGCGAACGGGA